UUGAACGCUGGCGGCAUGCCUUACACAUGCAAGUCGAACGGUAGAGGAGCAAUCCUCGAGAGUGGCGAACGGGUGAGUAAUAUAUCGGAACGUGCCCAGUCGUGGGGGAUAACGUAGCGAAAGCUACGCUAAUACCGCAUACGAUCUACGGAUGAAAGCGGGGGAUCGCAAGACCUCGCGCGAUUGGAGCGGCCGAUAUCAGAUUAGCUAGUUGGUGGGGUAAAAGCCCACCAAGGCGACGAUCUGUAGCUGGUCUGAGAGGACGACCAGCCACACUGGAACUGAGACACGGUCCAGACUCCUACGGGAGGCAGCAGUGGGGAAUUUUGGACAAUGGGCGCAAGCCUGAUCCAGCAAUGCCGCGUGCAGGAUGAAGGCCUUCGGGUUGUAAACUGCUUUUGUACGGAACGAAACGGCUCUUUCUAAUAAAGAGGGCUAAUGACGGUACCGUAAGAAUAAGCACCGGCUAACUACGU
rnacentral:rRNA from 1 species